CCUACGGGUGGCAGCAGUGGGGAAUAUUGCACAAUGGGGGAAACCCUGAUGCAGCGACGCCGCGUGAAGGAUGAAGUAUUUCGGUAUGUAAACCUCUAUCAGCAGGGAAGAAAAUGACGGUACCUGACUAAGAAGCCCCGGCUAACUACGUGCCAGCAGCCGCGGUAAUACGUAGGGGGCAAGCGUUAUCCGGAUUUACUGGGUGUAAAGGGAGCGUAGACGGUGUGGCAAGUCUGAUGUGAAAGCCCGGGGCUCAACCCCGGGACUGCAUUGGAAACUGGUGAACUGGAGUGUAGGAGAGGUAAGUGGAAUUCCUAGUGUAGCGGUGAAAUGCGUAGAUAUUAGGAGGAACACCAGUGGCGAAGGCGGCUUGCUGGACGAUAACUGACGUUGAGGCUCGAAAGCGUGGGGAGCAAACAGGAUUAGAUACCCCAGUAGUC
rnacentral:rRNA from 1 species